UACGUAGGGACCGAGCGUUGUCCGGAAUCAUUGGGCGUAAAGAGCGUGUAGGCGGCCAGGUAGGUGGGUUGUGAAAACUGGAGGCUCAACCUUCAGACGUCGAUCCAAACCCCCUGGCUAGAGUCCGGAAGAGGAGAGUGGAAUUCCUGGUGUAGCGGUGAAAUGCGCAGAUAUCAGGAAGAACACCCGUGGCGAAGGCGGCUCUCUGGGACGGUACUGACGCUGAGACGCGAAAGCGUGGGGAGCGAACAGG
rnacentral:rRNA from 1 species